UACGUAGGGUGCAAGCGUUGUCCGGAAUCAUUGGGCGUAAAGAGCGUGUAGGCGGCUCGAUAAGUCUGUUCUGAAAGUCCAGGGCUCAACCCUGGGAUGCGGAUGGAUACUGUCGAGCUCGAGUCCGGAAGAGGCGAGUGGAAUUCCUGGUGUAGCGGUGAAAUGCGCAGAUAUCAGGAGGAACACCAAUGGCGAAGGCAGCUCGCUGGGACAUGACUGACGCUGAGACGCGAAAGCGUGGGGAGCAAACAGG
rnacentral:rRNA from 1 species